rnacentral:lncRNA from 10 species
AGUAAUUUGCUUGGGUCCUCUUCUAAUGUGUGGCAGGUUUGUUUUUUCGCUCUUUGCAAUUAAAUCUUGCCAUUGCUCACUCUUUGGGUCCACACUGCUUUUAUGAGCUGUAACACUCACCGCGAAGGUCUGCAGCCUCGCUGCUGAAGCCAGCGAGACCACGAACCCACCGGGAGGAACGAACAACUACAGCUGCGCCGCCUUAAGAGCUGUAACACCGCGAAGGUCUGCAGCUUCACUUCUGAGCCAGCGAGACCACGAACCCACUAGAAGGAAGAAACUCCGGACAUGCCCCCUUUAAGAACUGUUAACACUCAGCGCGAGGGUCCGAGGCUUCUUUCUUGAAGUCAGUGAGACCAAGAACCCACCAAUUCUGGACACAGUGACAAGGAAAAGACAGCGGUAAUUGCCACAUUGAGUGAACCAAGUUUCUAAAUGGCUGGCAUUUGCAUAUUAAAGGUUGCCUGCCCGGCCCUUCAAGCCACCUUUUCUGUUAGAAAAGAGAUGGUUCGGGGCUGUUUUUUUAUUACAGGAAAAUUUCCUCCGAGAACCUUUACCCUGAGUAGCUGCCUGGAAAUUAUUUCUUAAGAACACCUGUAUCACCAGCCUGCAUCUCCCUCAAAGCAGAACCUGAGAUAAAAAGGCUUCUGUGUGAGUGUUUUUUCUGAGAAUGAGGGAAAUACAGAAAGACGGUGGAAGUGGGGAAGGAAAGCUCCUAAGAGUACGCAGUAUUGAAAUGGUCCCUGCCUGCAGGUGGCUGGUUUCUGACCAGGAUGAACAGCCUCUCUGAGUAUUUGAGUAAAGAACAAAGGCCGUUUUGGGGGAAGUCGGACCUGAAUGGGUCUUGGUGCACAAGAAGCUGAGAAAGCAGGAGAGAAGAAUCCAGAGGAAAAAGAGGGAUUCACACAGGAGGAGAACAGAGAAUGGAGAAGAUCAAUGUUGAAGCUAAAGCACUUGGUCCAUCAAUUCAAAUGUUAAUGUCCUCUGGAAACACCCUCAGAGACAGACCCAGAAAUAAUGUUUAAUCAGAUAUAUGGACAUCCCAUGGCCCAGCCAAAUUGAUGCAUAAAAUUAACCAUCUCAGCAAGGGUGUAUUGCUUACUAUCUUUGAAUUCAGAGUGCUCUGGGAAGCCAUUAGUAUACUUUAGGGGGAAUAAAUGGUGUUAGUUAAUCUAGAACACUGGCUGGGUGGACUUUGGUUAAGGGAAUUCUUACUCACCAUGAAUCCAUCUGCCAAAUGUUUAUUGAGUGCCUACUGUGAAUCACCUGGUAGAGGCUCACAUUUGUCACAGACUGGUAAGAAGGUAGCUUACUUUUCCAAUCUGCACUUUGAUUUAUGCCUUUGCACAUUCUCUUCUGCCUACUUGGUGUCUUUUCUAUGCAUUUUUCAUCACCUGGGAGAUUUCUGCUCAUCCUUCAACAUAUGCCUUAAAAAUCACCUUCUCAGGGAAGCCUUCCCUGCCCUCUAAGCUUGACUUAAAAAGGUUUGCUGUUUUGCCUUUUGCAUUCUUCCAUAAUAGCACCUAUCGCUCUGUAUUGUAAGAAAUCGUUUCUAAGUCUCUUUAAGCUGUGGCCACAGUCCUUAGUACAUAGAAAGUGCUCAAUACAUGUUUGUUAAAUGCACUUGAUUUUUAUAUAUUAGUCCUAUAUCCAGCAACUCUGCUGAAUCCAGUUUCUAAUUUGGGUAGUGAAGCUGUUGAUUUUUUGAGACUUUCUAAGUAUAAAGUCAUAAGUAGCCUUUUUCUUCCUUUCUAAUAUGUAUAUCUUUUUUGUCCCUUUCCUUAUUAAGUAGGAUGGUCACCAGCAAAAUGUUGACAGAUGUGCCUGUUCAUGUUUUGGAUUCUAGAUGAAUGUUUUCAAUAUUUUACCAUUAAGUGUAAUAUUUGCUGUAGAUUUUGA